rnacentral:lncRNA from 1 species
GGCUGCUUGCCAUUACUUAAGUAUUCCAACAAUUGAUGGCAUCGUCCUGUCCUUUUUACUCAACUUGAAAGGCCAUGCUGAACUUCUCGUCGUCGGUGUCCUGAAAAAGACCAUUGUAAGUAUUAACCUGUCAAAAUUGUGCAUCUGGUGCCUAAGCUUCUGGGUCAUCAAAGUAAUUAGAAUUUGAACUUUUGAGCUAUGUAGUUUAGUUAUGAUGCUCUUUUUAUUUUGUGCAGUUGAAGACAUGGUGGGAUCAGAAUGUUCACAAUUUGGUGGUAAUGGUAGUAGUGCUUAAUACAAUUAUCUCUGGACCUAUAGUGGCUUACAUAUUAAGAAAAAAUGAAAAGUAUUUUUCUCAGAAACGUAACUUACUUGAAUUUCGCGAACCUGAGGAAGAAAUUCGAAUGCUAGCUUGUGUUUAUGGCUCUCGCCAUAUAACAGCAAAAAUUGGGCUAAUAUUCACUUUAAGUGGAUCCUCUGAAACUCC